AAAUAGAACUUUGCAGAGAGAGUUAACAGGGCGUGAAACCGUUGAUUGGCAAACGAAUCGGAGCCACGAAGUCGUUUCGUUGUUAGUUGGGCGGAGUUCAGUUCGCGCCGAAAGACGCGGGCGUAUUCUCACGCUCAUCCAACCUUGUAAGCGUACACUGCAACUUGUUAGACGAUCAGCUGUGGGCUGAGUGACGCAGAGCGAGCAAUCGCGCUGCGGCACGCAUUGUCUGUUCGCUCGCGGUAGUAGUAGCGCAGCUGACUUCGGUCUUUUUGUGUUGCUGGCCGCGUGGCGGGUGAACUACAGCUGAAUACUGACAAGCGAAAUGAAAACCGUUGAAAAACGUUAGAGAAAAAGCGGUUGGUCACAUGGAUGUUUACACGUUCGACUGUUAGGUCUAAGCUUGGCAUUUUUGAAUUCAGACCUGCUUGCUACCAGUGGGGCAACUCCUGGUGCUUGUACGGCUUCUGUCUAAUCGGGUGUCGACUUGGCUUGGCAUCGUUCGGGCGUGAAACGAUUGAGCGUUCAUAUGAACUAAUCCGCAAUUUAAAUUGGCAGUGAGUAGGUCGGCUUUCCGAACGA
rnacentral:rRNA from 1 species